rnacentral:rRNA from 1 species
AGCAUGUGGUUUAAUUCGAUGCAACGCGAAGAACCUUACCUGGGCUUGACAUCUGCAGAAUCUUUCAGAGAUGAGGGAGUGCCUUUCGGGGAACUGCAAGACAGGUGCUGCAUGGCUGUCGUCAGCUCGUGCCGUGAGGUGUAUGGUUAAGUCCCGCAACGAGCGCAACCCCUGCCCCUAGUUGCUAACCCGCGAGGGUGCACUCUAGGGGGACUGCCUCCGUCAAGGAGGGGGAAGGUGGGGAUAACGUCAAGUCAUCAUGGUCCUUAUGCCCAGGGCUACACACGUCCUACAGUGGCCGUUACAAUGGGAAGCUACAUCGCGAGGUGAUGCCAAUCCUGUAAAAGCGGCCAUGGUUCGGAUUGCAGGCUGCAACUCGCCUGCAUGAAGAUGGAAUCGCUAGUAAUCACUGAUCAGCAUGCAGUGGUGAAUACGUUCCCGGGUCUU